rnacentral:lncRNA from 1 species
UCUUAAGCACUUAUACAAGACCAAAAAACUUAAAUAAUACCUUCUUUGUUCAUUUUUUAAGGUGUGAUCUUAAGGUUUAAAAAGUAAUAUCAGAGCGGAUCAGAUCCAUAACCCAUGUAGAUUAGAAAAAACUGCAACUUAGAUCUUUUGGACUAACUAUAAGCUGAUCGUGGUGUUUGUGAUUAGAUUUGAAUAGAUUUGGAUCCUC